rnacentral:rRNA from 1 species
UAGUGAUGGAGGGACGCAGUAGGCUAACUAAACCGGACGAUUGGAAGAGUCCGGCUAAGCAGUGAGGUGUAAGAUGAGUCAAAUGCUUAUCUUUAUAACAUUGAGCUGUGAUGGGGAGCGAAUUUUAGUAGCGAAGUUAGUGAUGUCACACUGCCAAGAAAAGCUUCUAGCGUUUAAUGAUACUCUACCCGUACCGCAAACCGACACAGGUAGUCGAGGCGAGUAGCCUCAGGUGAUCGAGAGAACUCUCGUUAAGGAACUCGGCAAAAUGACCCCGUAACUUCGGGAGAAGGGGUGCUGACUUAGGUCAGCCGCAGUGAAUAGGCUCAAGCAACUGUUUAUCAAAAACACAGCUCUCUGCUAAAUCGUAAGAUGAUGUAUAGGGGGUGACGCCUGCCCGGUGCUGGAAGGUUAAGAGGAGGGUUUAGCGCAAGCGAAGAUCUGAAUUGAAGCCCCAGUAAACGGCGGCCGUAACUAUAACGGUCCUAAGGUAGCGAAAUUCCUUGUCGGGUAAGUUCCGACCCGCACGAAAGGCGUAAUGAUUUGGGCACUGUCUCAACGAGAGACUCGGUGAAAUUUUAGUACCUGUGAAGAUGCAGGUUACCCGCGACAGGACGGAAAGACCCCAUGGAGCUUUACUGCAGUUUGAUAUUGAGUAUCUGUACCACAUGUACAGGAUAGGUAGGAGCCAUUGACUUCGGGACGCCAGUUUCGAAUGAGGCGCUGUUGGGAUACUACCCUUGUGUUAUGGCUACUCUAACCCAGAUAGGUUAUCCCUAUCGGAGACAGUGUCUGACGGGCAGUUUGACUGGGGCGGUCGCCUCCUAAAGAGUAACGGAGGCGCCCAAAGGUUCCCUCAGAUUGGUUGGAAAUCA